rnacentral:rRNA from 1 species
GAUGAACGCUGGCGGCGUGCCUAAUACAUGCCAGUCGAGCGAACGGACGAGAAGCUUGCUUUUCUGAUGUUAGCGGCGGACGGGUGAGUAACACGUGGAUAACCUACCUAUAAGACUGGGAUAACUUCGGGAAACCGGAGCUAAUACCGGAUAAUAUUUUGAACCGCAUGGUUCAAAAGUGAAAGACGGUCUUGCUGUCACUUAUAGAUGGAUCCGCGCUGCAUUAGCUAGUUGGUAAGGUAACGGCUUACCAAGGCAACGAUGCAUAGCCGACCUGAGAGGGUGAUCGGCCACACUGGAACUGAGACACGGUCCAGACUCCUACGGGAGGCAGCAGUAGGGAAUCUUCCGCAAUGGGCGAAAGCCUGACGGAGCAACGCCGCGUGAGUGACGAAGGUCUUCGGAUCGUAAAACUCUGUUAUUAGGGAAGAACAUAUGUGUAAGUAACUGUGCACAUCUUGACGGUACCUAAUCAGAAAGCCACGGCUAACUACGUG